rnacentral:rRNA from 1 species
CAUAGGUUAAUGAGGCGAACCGGGGGAACUGAAACAUCUAAGUACCCCGAGGAAAAGAAAUCAACCGAGAUUCCCCCAGUAGCGGCGAGCGAACGGGGAGGAGCCCAGAGCCUGAAUCAGUGUGUGUGUUAGUGGAAGCGUCUGGAAAGGCGCGCGAUACAGGGUGACAGCCCCGUACACAAAAAUGCACAUGCUGUGAGCUCGAUGAGUAGGGCGGGACACGUGGUAUCCUGUCUGAAUAUGGGGGGACCAUCCUCCAAGGCUAAAUACUCCUGACUGACCGAUAGUGAACCAGUACCGUGAGGGAAAGGCGAAAAGAACCCCGGCGAGGGGAGUGAAAAAGAACCUGAAACCGUGUACGUACAAGCAGUGGGAGCCUCUUAAUGGGGUGACUGCGUACCUUUUGUAUAAUGGGUCAGCGACUUAUAUUCUGUAGCAAGGUUAACCGAAUAGGGGAGCCGAAGGGAAACCGAGUCUUAACUGGGCGUUAAGUUGCAGGGUAUAGACCCGAAACCCGGUGAUCUAGCCAUGGGCAGGUUGAAGGUUGGGUAACACUAACUGGAGGACCGAACCGACUAAUGUUGAAAAAUUAGCGGAUGACUUGUGGCUGGGGGUGAAAGGCCAAUCAAACCGGGAGAUAGCUGGUUCUCCCCGAAAGCUAUUUAGGUAGCGCCUCGUGAAUUCAUCUCCGGGGGUAGAGCACUGUUUCGGCAAGGGGGUCAUCCCGACUUACCAACCCGAUGCAAACUGCGAAUACCGGAGAAUGUUAUCACGGGAGACACACGGCGGGUGCUAACGUCCGUCGUGAAGAGGGAAACAACCCAGACCGCCAGCUAAGGUCCCAAAGUCAUGGUUAAGUGGGAAACGAUGUGGGAAGGCCCAGACAGCCAGGAUGUUGGCUUAGAAGCAGCCAUCAUUUAAAGAAAGCGUAAUAGCUCACUGGUCGAGUCGGCCUGCGCGGAAGAUGUAACGGGGCUAAACCAUGCACCGAAGCUGCGGCAGCGACACUAUGUGUUGUUGGGUAGGGGAGCGUUCUGUAAGCCUGUGAAGGUGGCCUGUGAGGGUUGCUGGAGGUAUCAGAAGUGCGAAUGCUGACAUAA